UACGUAGGGUGCGAGCGUUGUCCGGAAUUACUGGGCGUAAAGAGCUCGUAGGUGGUUUGUCGCGUUGUUCGUGAAAACUCACAGCUUAACUGUGGGCGUGCGGGCGAUACGGGCAGACUGGAGUACUGCAGGGGAGACUGGGAUUCCUGGUGUAGCGGUGGAAUGCGCAGAUAUCAGGAGGAACACCGGUGGCGAAGGCGGUUCUCUGGGCAUGUCCUGACGCUGAGGAGCGAAAGUGUGGGGAGCGAACAGG
rnacentral:rRNA from 1 species